CAAGUUUGGAGCAGACGGUGUCUAGUUUCCAACAACAAAUGCAACUACACCUCGAGAGAUCAAAUAGUGCAAUUGUUGAGCAUAAGCUUUAGUUAGCAGCCGGUGUGGUGUCCCUGUCCCGAGGAUAAUCUAAAAAUACAAACAAUGUACACAGAAGAGGGUUCUCCGUUGCACACCCCGACACCUGAACCGCGUAUGGAAGCAAGGAUAGCGCCAUCACACAACAACAUACCUAGCAGUGGAAAAAUAACCGGGAGGAAUUCGGUGAAAGGUGGUUUGCUUUAGCGGUUGCUAUGUCCAUAAAGUAGCGGCUAAUUCUGCGCUCCGCAAUAAUAUAGGAAACAAAAUAAAAACUUUCAUUCAAGGAAAUCGAGGGGUGGGAAGCAGACAGUGCCAGUGGUGGAAAACAUUUCCCAAAGCAGGGCGAGUGAGCGAGACGACUUGUUUCCGGUUUCUCGCGUGCAAAACCAUGGCAAUGGAGAAAGGACGACGGCAAGCGUAACCCAGCAGGCAGCGAGCCGGGAUUGCUGCGGCAUCGGCACGGCAACCAGCAAGCGUCCAGAAUUGGGUCAAGGUAGUCAAGGUUAAACGUUGUUUUUGUAGGUAUCGAUUUUAUCCGGUACAACUAACUGGCGGGUUGUUUUCGCUGCGCGGAUAUUUUCCAAUAGGAGGGAUGGGUAAAUGCGGGGAAGGUGGUGAUCAGGAAAGACAAUAUGUACGCUUGUUUGGUGGAAAUAAACACUUCCGAUAACUUUG